GAUGAACGCUGGCGGCGUGCUUAACACAUGCAAGUCGAACGAAGCACCCUCAUCCGUGGAAGGGAGUAGCUUGCUACGAACGGACACACCCGAGGUUGACUGANNUGCGGACGGGUGAAUUACGCGUGGGCAAACUGCCCCAUAGAGGGGGGACACCAGUAGAAAUGACUGCCUAUACCGGAUANUUAAGCAGAUCCGCAUGCUUCUGCUUUGAAAGCCUUGGCCCUAUGGGAUGGGGCCGGUUUUGAUAACUAAUUGGUGAGGUUAACGGCCCACCAGGGCACAAACUAAUACCCGGUUUAAAAAAUUGAAAGGCCCAUUUUGGAAUGGAAAAAGGGCCCAAUUCCCUACGGGAAGGGCCCAUGGGGGAAAAUUGGCCAAUGGGGGGAAACCCUAUUUACCAAACCCCCCUUUGAUUAAAAAAAAUUUUCCGGUAUUUUUAACCCCUCCCCCCCCGGAAAAAAAUUGACGGGCCCCCCCUAUUAAAAACCCCCGCUUAUUUAAU
rnacentral:rRNA from 1 species